rnacentral:rRNA from 2 species
AUACGAAGGGUGCAAGCGUUACUCGGAAUUACUGGGCGUAAAGCGUGCGUAGGUGGUCGUUUAAGUCCGUUGUGAAAGCCCUGGGCUCAACCUGGGAACUGCAGUGGAUACUGGGCGACUAGAAUGUGGUAGAGGGUAGCGGAAUUCCUGGUGUAGCAGUGAAAUGCGUAGAGAUCAGGAGGAACAUCCAUGGCGAAGGCAGCUACCUGGACCAACAUUGACACUGAGGCACGAAAGCGUGGGGAGCAAACAGGAUUAGAUACCCUGGUAGUCCACGCCCUAAACGAUGCGAACUGGAUGUUGGGUGCAAUUUGGCACGCAGUAUCGAAGCUAACGCGUUAAGUUCGCCGCCUGGGGAGUACGGUCGCAAGACUGAA